rnacentral:rRNA from 1 species
CAGUCGCCGCGGGAAUACGUAGGUGGCAAGCGUUGUCCGGAAUUAUUGGGCGUAAAGGGCUCGCGGGCGGUUUCUUAAGUCUGAUGUGAAAGCCCCCGGCUCAACCGGGGAGGGUCAUUGGAAACUGGGAAACUUGAGUGAAGAAGAGGAGAGUGGAAUUCCACGUGUAGCGGUGAAAUGCGUAGAGAUGUGGAGGAACACCAGUGGCGAAGGCGACUCUCUGGUCUGUAACUGACGCUGAGGAGCGAAAGCGUGGGGAGCGAACAGGAUUAGAUACCCCAGUAGUCCCUGUCUCUUAUAC